CAGAGGAAAAGGAGCUGGUAUCAGGCUCAAUACGCCCAUAACACCUAGCCCCGCCACACCCCCAAGGGUACUCAGCAGUGAUCAACAUUGUAAACUAGCGCAAGCUAAAUUCAGUUACUAGCCAAUAAAACCGGUCAAUCUCGUGCCAGCCACCGCGGUUAUACGGGCAGGUUUAAAUUGAUAACAUCGGCACAAAGCGUGGUUAAAUAACAUUAUAAUAAAGCAAAAAUUAAGCCCAGCUGUGAUAUGCUUCCGCUUUUAAGAACCCCAAUUACGAAAGUAGCUUUAAUCCUAAUUGAACCCACGAUCGCUAAGACACAAACUGGGAUUAGAUACCCCACUAUGCCUAGCCCUAAACUUUGAUAACUUCGCCCGGGGACUACGAGCGUCAGCUUAAAACCCAAAAGACUUGGCGGUGCCCUAUACCACCUAGAGGAGCCUGUUCUAUAAUCGAUAAUCCCCGAUUCACCUCACCAUCUUUUGCCAAUACCGUCUGUAUACCUCCGUCGCCAACUGACCCCUCAAGGGUAAUAGUCGGUUUAAUGGCCUACCACCAGUAAGUCAGGUCAAGGUGCAGCGAAUGAGAUGGGAAGCAAUGGGCUACAUUUUCUACCAAUAGACCAUACGAAAGAUCACUAUGAAAUCUGGUUGGAAGGCGGAUUUAGCAGUAAAAAGAGACUAGAGUGCUCUUUUUAAGCCGGCUCUAGGGCGCGCACACACCGCCCGUC
rnacentral:rRNA from 1 species